GUUGAACCCAUUCCUCCUUUUGGAAUUCCUCUUACCUCCCUACCCCCCCGGACAGAAGUUGACAGAGGUUUUUUUUGGCUGAAAUCUUCAUCUGGGUGCUUUUCAGGGAGAAGUAGCAGAAUGUGGCAAUGAGGACUCAAACCAGUGAGCUCAUGGGAAUGAAGAUGAGAAGAAAAAUGAAAGGGGGCACUGUGAUUGCGUGAACACAGGAAAUAAAGGCAAAGACAAAUAAGAUUUGAUGUAAUUUAUCCGUUAUGCAAUAGUCUAGAUUGCAGUCAGAAAAUUUACUUUUAGCUUAAGGAAAAGUUUGAAGAAAUUUCAAAAUAUAUGCUAUUUCUAAGUCAAAUAUGCAAAACACAAUUUUUAAAUUUACCAUGUUUCUUAAUUUUUUUUUAAAGAUUUUAUUUUUCCUUUUUCUCCCCAACACCCCCCGGUACACAGUUAUAUAUUCUUAAUUGUGUGUCCUUCUAG
rnacentral:lncRNA from 1 species